CCAUCAAACUCCCUAGUCUAGCCUUCUCCUCAUCCCAGCUGCAUCGCCACACCCCAUUAUCCAUUCCUAACCCGAAGAAACCGAGAAGGAGAGCUCCAUCUCCCUUAUCCAUCUCAACCUCACCGCCGACCGUGAAGACGACGACCGCCUCCAGCGCCAUUACGCCGCGGUCGUUUCCUCUUCUCUUGCGUCCCAUUAUCACCUCUCCACGCCGAUUCCAUCCCUCUAAGUUUCACCCCAUUUCAUGCAGUGGUUUGGUGGGAACGCAAACCUCGCCGGCGAUGCUCUGGAGCACGCACCGGGCGCCGCCGUGGCGGCAUCGUCGUCGUUGCCAUCGAUCUAGACUGAGCCGGAGCGAGCCACCACGCCACCAGCUUCACCUCGACCGCCUCUCCAUUUACCCCCAAGAAACCCAUCCAAUGGCGCAGCGAUCUUGGAGAUCGACAUCGUCUUCUCCAACUCCGUUCAACUGCUUCCAUCAUCGAAUCCAUUCUCUCUGAUCGAGCAGCCGACGUCAUCCCUGGAGUUGUGCCAUGCCGCCAUGGAGCUUCGCCGUCGCUGUGGCUCUGCAGACAACCCCAGCCUUGUCUAGCAUCUCGAUAAUUGCUUAAUCGGUGAAGAAGUGAAUUAGGUGCUGACAUUUUCCAGUUUCAAG